GUGACUGCGUACCUUUUGUAUAAUGGGUCAGCGACUUAUAUUCUGUAGCAAGGUUAACCGAAUAGGGGAGCCGGAGGGAAACCGAGUCUUAACCGGGCGUUAAGUUGCAGGGUAUAGACCCGAAACCCGGUGAUCUAGCCAUGGGCAGGUUGAAGGUUGGGUAACACUAACUGGAGGACCGAACCGACUAAUGUUGAAAAAUUAGCGGAUGACCUGUGGCUGGGGGUGAAAGGCCAAUCAAACCGGGAGAUAGCUGGUUCUCCCCGAAAGCUAUUUAGGUAGCGCCUCGUGAAUUCAUCUCCGGGGGUAGAGCACUGUUUCGGCUAGGGGGCCAUCCCGGCUUACCAACCCGAUGCAAACUGCGAAUACCGGAGAAUGUUAUCACGGGAGACACACGGCGGGUGCUAACGUCCGUCGUGAAGAGGGAAACAACCCAGACCGCCAGCUAAGGUCCCAAAGUCAUGGUUAAGUGGGAAACGAUGUGGGAAGGCCCAGACAGCCAGGAUGUUGGCUUAGAAGCAGCCAUCAUUUAAAGAAAGCGUAAUAGCUCACUGGUCGAGUCGGCCUGCGCGGAAGAUGUAACGGGGCUAAACCAUGCACCGAAGCUGCGGCAGCGACACUGUGUGUUGUUGGGUAGGGGAGCGUUCUGUAAGCCUGUGAAGGUGUGUCGUGAGGCAUGCUGGAGGUAUCAGAAGUGCGAAUGCUGACAUAAGUAACGAUAAAGCGGGUGAAAAGCCCGCUCGCCGGAAGACCAAGGGUUCCUGUCCAACGUUAAUCGGGGCAGGGUGAGUCGACCCCUAAGGCGAGGCCGAAAGGCGUAGUCGAUGGGAAACGGGUUAAUAUUCCCGUACUUGGUGUUACUGCGAAGGGGGGACGGAGAAGGCUAUGUUGGCCGGGCGACGGUUGUCCCGGUUUAAGCGUGUAGGUGUGUGUUCCAGGUAAAUCCGGUUCACUUUAACACUGAGGCGUGACGACGAGGCACUACGGUGCUGAAGCAACAAAUGCCCUGCUUCCAGGAAAAGCCUCUAAGCAUCAGGUAACAUCAAAUCGUACCCCAAACCGACACAGGUGGUCAGGUAGAGAAUACCAAGGCGCUUGAGAGAACUCGGGUGAAGGAACUAGGCAAAAUGGUGCCGUAACUUCGGGAGAAGGCACGCUGACACGUAGGUGAAGUGAUUUACUCAUGGAGCUGAAGUCAGUCGAAGAUACCAGCUGGCUGCAACUGUUUAUUAAAAACACAGCACUGUGCAAACACGAAAGUGGACGUAUACGGUGUGACGCCUGCCCGGUGCCGGAAGGUUAAUUGAUGGGGUCAGCGCAAGCGAAGCUCCUGAUCGAAGCCCCGGUAAACGGCGGCCGUAACUAUAACGGUCCUAAGGUAGCGAAAUUCCUUGUCGGGUAAGUUCCGACCUGCACGAAUGGCGUAAUGAUGGCCAGGCUGUCUCCACCCGAGACUCAGUGAAAUUGAACUCGCUGUGAAGAUGCAGUGUACCCGCGGCAAGACGGAAAGACCCCGUGAACCUUUACUAUAGCUUGACACUGAACAUUGAGCCUUGAUGUGUAGGAUAGGUGGGAGGCUUUGAAGUGUGGACGCCAGUCUGCAUGGAGCCGACCUUGAAAUACCACCCUUUAAUGUUUGAUGUUCUAACGUGGACCCGUUACCCGGGUUGCGGACAGUGUCUGGUGGGUAGUUUGACUGGGGCGGUCUCCUCCUAAAGAGUAACGGAGGAGCACGAAGGUUGGCUAAUCCUGGUCGGACAUCAGGAGGUUAGUGCAAUGGCAUAAGCCAGCUUGACUGCGAGCGUGACGGCGCGAGCAGGUGCGAAAGCAGGUCAUAGUGAUCCGGUGGUUCUGAAUGGAAGGGCCAUCGCUCAACGGAUAAAAGGUACUCCGGGGAUAACAGGCUGAUACCGCCCAAGAGUUCAUAUCGACGGCGGUGUUUGGCACCUCGAUGUCGGCUCAUCACAUCCUGGGGCUGAAGUAGGUCCCAAGGGUAUGGCUGUUCGCCAUUUAAAGUGGUACGCGAGCUGGGUUUAGAACGUCGUGAGACAGUUCGGUCCCUAUCUGCCGUGGGCGCUGGAGAACUGAGGGGGGCUGCUCCUAGUACGAGAGGACCGGAGUGGACGCAUCACUGGUGUUCGGGUUGUCAUGCCAAUGGCACUGCCCGGUAGCUAAAUGCGGAAGAGAUAAGUGCUGAAAGCAUCUAAGCACGAAACUUGCCCCGAGAUGAGUUCUCCCUGAGACUU
rnacentral:rRNA from 1 species